rnacentral:miRNA from 16 species
AGCUGGUACAUUGGAACCAAAU